CUCAAAGGAAUAGACGGGGACCCGCACAAGUGGUGGAGCAUGUGGUUUAAUUCGAAGAUACGCGAAGAACCUUACCUAGCCUUGACAUUGAUUGAAUUUUCCAGAGAUGGAGAAGUGCCUUUCGGGGAACAUGAAAACAGGUGCUGCACGGCUGUCGUCAGCUCGUGUCGUGAGAUGUUGGGUUAAGUCCCGCAACGAGCGCAACCCUCGUCGUUAGUUGCUAACAGGUUAAGCUGAGCACUCUAGCGAGACUGCCUUCGCAAGGAGGAGGAAGGUGAGGACGACGUCAAGUCAUCAUGGCCCUUAUGGCUAGGGCUACACACGUGCUACAAUGGGGCGUACAGAGAGUUGCGAUACCGCGAGGUGGAGCCAAUCUCAUAAAGCGUCUCUCAGUUCGGAUUGUUCUCUGCAACUCGAGAACAUGAAGCUGGAAUCACUAGUAAUCGUAGAUCAGCAAUGCUACGGUGAAUACGUUCCCGGGUCUUGUACUCACCGCCCGUCACACCAUGGGAGUUGAUUUCGCCCGAAGCGGGGAUGCUAAACUAGCUACCCUCUACGGCGGAAUUAGCGACUGGGGUGAAGUNGUAACAAGGUAACC
rnacentral:rRNA from 1 species